UAAUAAUUAUGAAAGCAAAAAAUUAUGGCGGUAUUUUAAGCUUUUCAGAGGAAUUUGCUCUUUAAUGGAUAAAACACCAAAAUCUUACUUAGAUUUGUGAUUUCAAUUUGUAUACCACUAUUAAAACAAUUUAUAACUUUAAUUGUUUAAAUUUACAAAACUAAAAUAUAUUAAGUCAAGGUGCAGUAAAAAUUUAAGGAUGAAGUGAAUUACAUUACUUUUUAGUGAGAUAAGUUUAUAACAAUAUUUAGGAUUUGAAAGUAAAAUUAAAAUAGGAUGUUAAUUUGAAUUAAGCUCUAAAAUANGUAC
rnacentral:rRNA from 1 species